rnacentral:tRNA from 1 species
GAAGGUAUUGCUCAAGUGGUAGAAUAUGUGCUUAGCAUGCGUGAGGUCCUGGGUUCAAUCCCCGGUACCUCCA